CAUUCGCUCUACAAGAUGCAAAUGAAGUGGUUCGUGUCUCAACUUCAGAUGGAAAGGGUAAGCAGCCUAUGUUUUAUGAACAUCAAGAAGAGGAACGAACAUCAAAUCAUCUAUCUGGGAAUGAGCUUGUAGUUUGGGAAAAUACAGUUUCUAG